CCUACGGGAGGCAGCAGUGGGGAAUCUUGCGCAAUGGGCGAAAGCCUGACGCAGCGACGCCGCGUGUGGGAAGAAGGCCUUCGGGUUGUAAACCACUUUCAGGAGGGACGAAGCCACUCGGGUUAAUAGCCCAGAGGGUGACGGUACCUCCAGAAGAAGCCCCGGCUAACUACGUGCCAGCAGCCGCGGUAAU
rnacentral:rRNA from 1 species